rnacentral:miRNA from 1 species
UUUUCUUAAUAAGUUACUCUGGCCUAAGGGGGGGGUGGGGUGUGUGUGUAUAUAUAUAUAUAUACACACACACACCCCCCCCCCCUUGGGCCAGAGUAACUAAUUU